AAGUCGUAACAAGGUUUCCGUAGGUGAACCUGCGGAAGGAUCAUUAUCAUAAUAACGUAUCCACGUAUAAACCAAUUUAACAUGUGAAUUGUUUAUUUACCUCUUUUUUUUUUUAUGUUUCUUUUGUAAACAUUUGUUUGGAUUUUUGGGAGCAAUCUCAAUUAUCUAUCUAAAUGGAUAUAAAAGAAUAAUUAAAUCAAAAGAGUGAAUUUAAUUUAACUAUUAACCAAUUGAACCGUAAUUGUUAUUCUUAUUAUUUUAGUACUGACUUGAUUUUUAUAUUCUCUCAAAUUUAUUUUUGAAAGAAUUGAAAAUUAAAAUUUUACGAAAAAUUAAAAAGAACAACUCUUAGCAACGGAUAUCUUGGUUCUC
rnacentral:misc_RNA from 1 species